rnacentral:misc_RNA from 1 species
AUGUGAGGAUGUGACUGUGCCCGAGGAAUUCCUCAGUGGAUUUUAUCCUUUACAAACUCAAUAUUUUUGUUUGUGAGUUUGCUUCUGGUAUUUUUCGGUUGUAUAUUUAUCCUGGUUCCCCAGCAAGUUAUUUAUCUAAUCAGCUCUCUAACCACAUCAGAACAUAGUAAGAUUGUUGAAUUAUUAGUUUCCAUCUCUCAACCUCUGGUCCUGAGAGAGACUGGAAAAUGUCUGGUUUGCAUCUCUGCACUGAUCCUACCUCUCUCUCUCUGUGGAUAUAUAGGAUCAUUGCGGAUCAGUUCCCCACUUUUACUCCUGUAUUCUGUUCCUAUUCUUCUGAUUUGGAGUAUUCAACUAGGA